CCUUUCCAAAACUUCCAGGUUUGGCCACAAUCGGUGGGGCGUGCACAGACCUUAGAUUUGGCGUGGGAGAAGACAAACCUCACACGUACCUGGGACUCACUACAAUGGCGCACGAACUCGGCCAUUUGUUAGGGGCAUACCAUGAUGGCUCUUCAGAAGCACCGAAUUGUCCUGCGGCUUUUGGGAACCUCAUGAGUACCAAGGACAGAGGAAUGCUAAACAGAUCCAAGCUGUCGCCCUGCAGUCAGGAUGCAAUAAGGGCUUUUGUAAGAGUCACGAUGGAGAUGAGUGUGAAAUCGAAUGUUGCUGGUCAGAGAAUCUCAGCCUGAAGAGCCAAAUAAAUUAUACAUACACAGAAGAAUCUACAAGUGAAGGAAAUUACGACAACUAUUACGCGAAUGCUCUCAUGUGUAGAUACUUUCCUGCCCUCGAUGGAAUGACUUGUGGGGAAAACAAGACGUGCAAAGGAGGUGUUUGUGGAGAACACGACUGGGAACAGAUACGUCAGGACCGGCAAGUUUUCCCUGCGAGACCGCCGUACAGAUGAUGGCAAUA